rnacentral:tRNA from 1 species
GGAUUGUGGCUCAGCGGUAGAGCGCUUGCCUCAUGCAGGCGGGACCCGGGUUCGAUCCUCAGCACCA